rnacentral:tmRNA from 1 species
GGGGCUGUAACGGCUUCGACGUUCUUGUGAAAGUCGUUCUGUGAUUCAGGUCGAGAGUGGGCUAUCUCUCGCAAAUCAAAAGUCCAAACUUUAUGUAACUGCGAACAAUAUCGUUCCUUUCGCUCGUAAGGCUGCUGCUGUAGCUUAAACACCACUCUUUGGUUCGAGCACUCGUUGUCUGACUCCGUUAAGGGCAGCGGGUUAACCCCAACGGAUGCCCUAGUUACCUUCUCUGGUAGGGUAGCUAGUUAAGACUUUACCAGAGCAUCCUACCGUUCGGGAUUAAGGAACGGUUCCUGCCUAAGGGUUAAAAAGGCUAAACCUGUGAAUGAGCAGACUAUGAUUAGCUUGGGCGGACACGGGUUCGACUCCCGUCAGCUCCACUU